rnacentral:rRNA from 1 species
AGAGUUUGAUCAUGGCUCAGAGCGAACGCUGGCGGCAGGCUUAACACAUGCAAGUCGAGCGCCCCGCAAGGGGAGCGGCGGACGGGUGAGUAACACGUGGGAACGUGCCCUUCGGUUCGGGAUAACUCAGGGAAACUUGAGCUAAAACCGGAUACGCCCUUCGGGGGAAAGGUUACGCCGAUUGAGCGGCCCGCGUCUGAUUAGCUAGUUGGUGGGGUAAUGGCCCACCAAGGCUACGAUCAGUAGCUGGUCUGAGAGGAUGAUCAGCCACACUGGGACUGAGACACGGCCCAGACUCCUACGGGAGGCAGCAGUGGGGAAUCUUGCGCAAUGGGGGAAACCCUGACGCAGCCAUGCCGCGUGAAUGAUGAAGGUCUUAGGAUUGUAAAAUUCUUUCAGCGGGGACGAUAAUGACGGUACCCGCAGAAGAAGCCCCGGCUAACUUCGUGCCAGCAGCCGCGGUAAUACGAAGGGGGCUAGCGUUGCUCGGAUUUACUGGGCGUAAAGGGCGCGUAGGCGGAUGACCAAGUUGGGGGUGAAAUCCCGGGGCUUAACCUCGGAACUGCCUCCAAAACUGGUCGUCUUGAGUUUGGGAGAGGUGUGUGGAACUCCGAGUGUAGAGGUGAAAUUCGUAGAUAUUCGGAAGAACACCAGUGGCGAAGGCGACACACUGGCCCAAUACUGACGCUGAGGCGCGAAAGCGUGGGGAGCAAACAGGAUUAGAUACCCCGGUAGUCC